rnacentral:sRNA from 1 species
GAGCUGGCAACGGUGGCUGCCCGGGA